GGGAAGGGGCAGGACAGGUGAAGUUUACCACAGGAGCCAAGGCCUUGAACCCACCAGCAAGGGUUCUUGCUGGAACUCGCAGUAUCUCAUCAUGGUUAGAUGGUGAGAUCUCGCCUGAGGAGAGUGGGGUGGCAGCAGGAGACAGCUCACAAAAGGAACUCCACAAUGUUUGUUUCUGAUGCUCCUGGGGCUGUUGUCAGCAUGGAUAAGAAAUCCAGAAGACCUCAGAAGAGAUGCCAAGGGAUGACUUUGAGCUCGUGUCUUUGCUGCGUAUCUAGACUCUCUUGGAGAACUAGCAGGUUUGAAAAGUUGGUUCUAGAUGAGAACACCUUCUUAUUCACUGCUGAAGCAAUACAUGCUGGCUGCAACCAUGCCUCGCCUAACAGCAAAAGAAUGUUCAGAAGCAUGCCCGGCUAAUUGAAACUACAGGGGGCAUUUAAUUAUUCCUGACAGACUCAGAGGGCCAUCCACAAGAACUAGGAUUACCGUGAGGAAUGCAAAAGUCUGGUAGUUUCCCAGGCCGUGGGCGUGAGGCUAUCAUGAGAACUUCUCCAAUGUUGGUAAGUUUUGGAAAAUCGGCCUCACAGAUCGAUGGAAGCAGCAAAAGCGUAGUCCUUUUCCAUCUAGGCCCUUUGAGUCGGAGGCAAGUUACACAGCGUAUUUCAAGAUAUUGCUUUGAAAGAUAUUCCUCAUCUGGCUCACCGACGAUUUUAAAUGAGAUCAUUUGCUACAUUUGAUCAUCUUUGCUUAUUUCAAUUUAAUCAGUUUUUAAAAAAAAAUAAUUUCUAGAAAGCAAAUAGCUUAAGUUAGCCAUCAGUCUCCUAUUUAGGCAGAAGUGUUUGCAAAAAGUGGAUCUUGCGAAGAAGCCAGAAUUCAGGAUCUGUGUAGGCAGGUGUGAGUGAGAGCUUGGAAUAUACCGGUGAAGUCUAAAUUGAAUGUUCUUUUAAUCUUUCCACCACCCGCUGGAAGCUGGGGCCUAUUCCAUGUCCAAGACUUGGUCUAAAUGAGGGAAGAGAUGUUAUGGAGCAAAAUAGCCUACUUGGACAUUGCUCACAUUCUGGUUACUGGCACAGGGAAGUCAGGCCAUAAAUAUUACAAGCAAUAGCGAUGAUUUAACACAAAAACGUUGUCUUCAGAUUUCUACAUAUUUUCCCCGCUAACCUUAAGAAAUAACCUUUUAGGGCACCUGGGUGGCUCAGUGGUUGAAUGUCUGCCUUUGGCUCAGGGCCUGAUACUAGGGUCCUGGGGUUGAGUCCUGCAUCGGGCUCCUUGCAGAGAGCCUGCUUCUCCCUCUGCCUGUG
rnacentral:lncRNA from 1 species